AAGACCUUGCGCUUUUGGAGCGGCCGAUGUCUGAUUAGCUUGUUGGUGAGGUAAAGGCUUACCAAGGCUUCGAUCAGUAGCUGGUCUGAGAGGACGGCCAGCCACACUGGGACUGAGACACGGCCCAGACUCCUACGGGAGGCAGCAGUGGGGAAUUUUGGACAAUGGGGGCAACCCUGAUCCAGCCAUGCCGCGUGAGUGAAGAAGGCCUUCGGGUUGUAAAGCUCUUUCAGCCGGAACGAAACGGUUACGAUUAAUACCCGUAACUACUGACGGUACCGGAAGAAGAAGCACCGGCUAACUACGUGCCAGCGGCCGCGGUAAUACGUAGGGUGCGAGCGUUAAUCGGAAUUACUGGGCGUAAAGCGUGCGCAGGUGGUUUUGUAAGUCAGAUGUGAAAUCCCCGGGCUUAACCUGGGAACU
rnacentral:rRNA from 1 species